rnacentral:rRNA from 1 species
CCUACGGGUGGCUGCAGUGGGGAAUAUUGCACAAUGGGCGCAAGCCUGAUGCAGCCAUGCCGCGUGUGUGAAGAAGGCCUUCGGGUUGUAAAGCACUUUCAGCGGGGAGGAAGGCGUUAAGGUUAAUAACCUUGUCGAUUGACGUUACCCGCAGAAGAAGCACCGGCUAACUCCGUGCCAGCAGCCGCGGUAAUACGGAGGGUGCAAGCGUUAAUCGGAAUUACUGGGCGUAAAGCGCACGCAGGCGGUCUGUCAAGUCGGAUGUGAAAUCCCCGGGCUCAACCUGGGAACUGCAUUCGAAACUGGCAGGCUAGCGUCUUGUAGAGGGGGGUAGAAUUCCAGGUGUAGCGGUGAAAUGCGUAGAGAUCUGGAGGAAUACCGGUGGCGAAGGCGGCCCCCUGGACAAAGACUGACGCUCAGGUGCGAAAGCGUGGGGAGCAAACAGGAUUAGAUACCCGUGUAGUC